CUGAACGACUCUCGGCAACGGAUAUNUCGGCUCUUGCAUCGAUGAAGAACGUAGCGAAAUGCGAUACUUGGUGUGAAUUGCAGAAUCCCGUGAACCAUCGAGUCUUUGAACGCAAGUUGCGCCUGAAGCCAUUAGGCUGAAGGCACGUCUGCCUGGGCGUCACGC
rnacentral:rRNA from 1 species